rnacentral:rRNA from 1 species
GACGAACGCUGGCGGCGUGCCUAAUACAUGCAAGUCGAGCGGAUCUCUUCGGAGAUCAGCGGCGGACGGGUGAGUAACACGUGGGCAACCUGCCUGUAAGACUGGGAUAACUCCGGGAAACCGGGGCUAAUACCGGAUAACCCUUCGGACCUCAUGGUCCGGAGCUGAAAGACGGUUAUGCUGUCACUUACAGAUGGGCCCGCGGCGGAUUAGCUAGUUGGUGGGGUAACGGCUCACCAAGGCGACGAUGCGUAGCCGACCUGAGAGGGUGAUCGGCCACACUGGGAGUGAGACACGGCCCAGACUCCUACGAGAGGCAGCAGUAGGGAAUCUUCCGCAAUGGACGAAAGUCUGACGGAGCAACGCCGCGUGAGUGAAGAAGGUGUUCGGAUCGUAAAACUCUGUUGUUAGGGAAGAACAAGUACGAGAGUAACUGCUCGUACCUUGACGGUACCUAACCAGAAAGCCACGGCUAACUACGUGCCAGCCGCCGCAGUAAGAC